rnacentral:rRNA from 1 species
AUUGAACGCUGGCGGCAUGCUUUACACAUGCAAGUCGAACGGCAGCGCGGGCUUCGGUCUGGCGGCGAGUGGCGAACGGGUGAGUAAUACAUCGGAACGUGCCCAGUAGUGGGGGAUAGCCCGGCGAAAGCCGGAUUAAUACCGCAUACGACCUGAGGGUGAAAGCGGGGGAUCUUCGGACCUCGCGCUAUUGGAGCGGCCGAUGGCAGAUUAGCUAGUUGGUGGGGUAAAGGCCUACCAAGGCGACGACCUGUAGCUGGUCUGAGAGGACGACCAGCCACACUGGGACUGAGACACGGCCCAGACUCCUACGGGAGGCAGCAGUGGGGAAUUUUGGACAAUGGGCGAAAGCCUGAUCCAGCAAUGCCGCGUGUGUGAUGAAGGCCUUCGGGUUGUAAAGCACUUUUGGCGGGAACGAAAAGGACUGUGCCAAUACCACGGUUCGAUGACGGUACCCGCAGAAUAAGCACCGGCUAACUACGUG